UUUAAAAAUGAAAGUGAUUUUAUUUUGAAAUUCACACAUCAGCUUCAUUAAUGGAUCCCAGUUCAGCAGCGGAGGCAUAAAAUGAGUCAACUCACAGAACAUCAGCCCAGCUGGGUGCAUCAUUUGGAUAACGCUCCUAACUAAUCCUCCAAACGAUUCAGCGCCUUAUAAUCCCAAUAUUAUUACAAUGUAAUCAAAGGAUGGAAAGCACUCAAUUUAUUAAACCCUCCUGGGUGAGACAAAUGAGUCUGCACACACACACACACACACACACAAGCAGAGACAACAAGAGCCACAUUUCAUGUAGAAAGUGUAGUUUUAUUAUUUCAAACUUCUCCUUAACACCCGAGGUUUUCACCUCAUACCUGUCUCCCUCCUUCCCUUUUCCUUUCUCCAGUUACAUCUACAAAAACUACUCAGAGCACAUCACUGUGUAUGGUACAUUUUCCUCCUCUGAUGCCGUGCUCUGGUGGGGAAAUCAGCGAAUGAGCUGCAGGAGUGGACGUAGCUCGCGAGAUGACGAUGGAGGGGAAUAUUAGCUGCAGAUGGGCUUAAAAGAAGGCAGCGUGAGGAUGUAAGCAAAACGAGAGGACGAGAGAAACGGAUACGAAGAAAAAAAGUCUGGACGUGCAACCCUCUCCUCCCACCGAGUCCCACCCACCCACCCCCCACCCUUUUUGUUUGUUUGUUUUUUUCGCUAAAUGGAACCAACAAUAACAAUCAUUGGCUGGUUAUUUACAUGCACAGUGUCCCCCCCUGUUACCACCCCAUAGACACACUAAUGCCUGAUCCCAAAGCCAUCUGCUGAUCAACAGUGUCACAUGUUACAAUAUGUUGAAUAGAUUUUCCUGAAAAUCACUUUUACUUGAUUUCAGAAGCAAGCCAAACCUAUAAUUUAAAAAAGACAAGGCUGGUGAUAUUCCAUGGUAAAACAAAAACAGCAACGAAAUUAGCCUUUUGAUAAAUAUUGUCCAUGUUGUGAAAGCGCUCUUGCACAAAACUAUUGAAAACCCCAUCAGUCAGCCAUGCCGUUGCACCGAAUUGCACCCCUUUGUCACAACAAAGCUGGGCACUGUAGUUUAUUUUAAACACGCACCUCUCCCUCACUGUAAAUACUACCUGGACAUAAAAAUAGUUUCCACAAACGUGCUCUUUAUUGCUAAAGAAACUACAGCGUGCAGCUGUUGUAGGAAAGUACAGUAAAACAAAUCAGUGCUGGGUGCUACAGGGAAGCUACUGAAAGAUGGAUGUUUUUUGGUCUUUUCAUGUUUUGCCUUGUAUUUACCGUAAUAAACAACUGAAAUAUU